rnacentral:lncRNA from 1 species
GAUUUCCUGUUUAUUGCAUUAAGGCGCCGGGUUUCCGGGGCUCCUGGCCCCGCUUAUUCCGCGGGGGUCGGCGGGGUCGGCCUGGGCGCCCGCGCCGCCGCUGCGCUUUGUCCGCUGGGCACACUGCUUCUGGGAGGGGCGGGCAGACAUGGUGGCGGCCGCCGCCCCCUCCUCGGCCCUAGCAUGCCGCGGCCGCCUCGCGGCUACCCGGCUUGCCGGUCCCGAGCGGCAGCCCCGGGGUGGCGAUGGGGUCGCGCCGAGGCAGCGGAGGUUCUGCGGGCGACUGGAGGUUGGCAGUGGGCGGGAGAAAGAGGAAGGCAGGCGCGGCUGGGCCUCGGCCUCUGGCGCCGCGGUACCCUUUGUCUCGGCAGCCUGACGGCCCCGCCGGGCUCUCCGGAGAGGGGAACGGGCGGCGAGGGUGGCGGGUCCUGGGCGCCCUGUGCUGCGGGGCCGAGAGGCGCUCGGGUCGCGGCGGGAUCGGCCGGACCAGACAGGGUUAAUGGAAGAGCCUGGCCAGUCCCGCGCGGGGCCCCCGCAGCGACAGCCUUGGCCGCGGGGACUGGAGUCCUGAGGGGGAGAAGCCUGCCGUUCUGAAGGCUCGGGACUUCUGCCCCAAAGACUUCGCCGCCGAGAACUGCGGGUGCACUGCCUCAGGGAAGAAGUUGAGAAUUUUGCCAGGUCAUCUCUGCCAGGGCACAGUUCAUCACUGUGUGUUUAGUGUGUUUCGGUGAAGCUCUCCAAGUGUGUUGAAUCAGCGUGCCUAGCCUCAAGGGUGCAUCGUGAAAACUGAAACCAAAGGAAUGAUACAGGCCUGCUUUGUGUGUGUCUUCCCACUUUAAGCUUGUUUUCAGUACAAAUACUCUUGCUUUAAACCUGAUUGGACUGUGGCGAGCGGACAUCUGUUCAAAGGAGGGGCCGAGACCACAGUACUUCUGAAGGGGGCUUGAUAAUGUGGAAACAUUUUAAGUUUUCUCUCCGGACUGUUUUGCUCUCUCAAUUCAGGCAAGUUACUGAAGUACGUUUUUUAUCUAGAAAAAGGUUUGAUGUAGUCUGUAAAUGGUCCUUGUAAAGUACAUUGCCAUCUCAGAAUUAAAAGAUCCACUCUCAUUUAUUAUGCAGAAGUUAGUGGUCAUUCUUUCCUGUAGAUAGUUUAUCUCAUGUAAAGACCCACCCAGCUUGGUUUAAAUUUUUUUCUCACUGACGUAUAACCAUCAGCUUUGAUACUUCCAUUUUCAGGCUCAGACUUUGAAUUUAAGGAAACUAAAGAUGACUUUAUUUUCUUUUCUCUUGGUUUUUUUUUUCCAAAAACAAAAAAUAAAUCCAUUACAUGUUAACAUAGAUGAUAAGAGUGACAUCUUGCAUUUUUGCAAAUCUUUUUAAUGCCUGGUUUAAUAGAAGAUUCUCAGAUCUACGUCAGACUGUUGUGGUUAGCACACCAUGUAACCUCUGGAACACUCCACUGUACACUCAUACUUUUUUAAAAAAAAAACCAAAAAACAGAAAUGUGUCAUUCUUACCGUGCUUUCACCAUACAAGUCAAAUCAAGCUGUUAUGCAAGACACAUUUUAACAAGACUGAAUAAGAUUGAUUCCCAUACUUUUUUUACUGGGCUCUAACUUUUUUAAAAGUUGGAAUUUAGGUGACUAAACAAAAUCACAGAUGAAGACUGCAUAAUCUGCCUAUGAUCUCGGAGACUCAGGAACAUUCGAAGAUAUUCUUAAGUGAUUAAAACAUUUAAUUCUAUUACAUAUUUAUAAUGAUUUACACAAGUAACACGUGAAUUCCACAUAUGCUAUCAACACUUGUGUAAAUGUUAUCUUUAAAGAUAGAACAUGUUGAAAAUUAUAGGAGGUACAGAUUUUACAGAAAAUUAAUUCUGCAGUGAAUCCUUUGGUGAAACGAACAGUUUGCAGAGACAUAUCCUUAGAGUUCUUUGUCUCUCUGAAUCAUUCUGGGUUUUCUAGGUUGGGAGACAAUUAUACUUAUUGGGAGACAAUUAUACUUAAUUGAUUAAUGCAUAAAAAUUUAAGGCCGUAUUUUAAUGGCUUUGAAAGGAAGCUAAGUUUGUUUCCAGUUGUUUCUGUGAACUGUAGUCUGAAUCUGUCAGUCUAUAGUUCUCUACUGUUCCAUCAACAGGAAGCAUCUGGUCAUUCUUCGUGUAAUUGUUAGAAAAUACCAGGUGUACUUUUAAUGUUUGCUGUUCAAACGAAAAUAGAUUGGAUCUUGGUUAAGUUCACUUGGUUUGGCCAGGCACAGUGGCUCACGCCUGCAGUCCCAGCACUUGGGGAGGUGGAGGCGGGCCGAUCACCUGAGGUCAAGAGUUUGAGACCAGCCUGGCUAACGCGGUGAAACCCCAUUUCUACUAAAAAUACAAAAAAUUAGCUGGGCGUGGUGGUGCGCGCUUGUAAUCCCAGCUACUCGGGAGGCUGAGGCAGGAGAAUCGCUUGAGCCAGAGAGGCAAAGGUUGCAAUAAGCCAAGAUAGCGCCAUUGCAUUCCAGCUUGGGCAACAGGAGCGAAACUCUGUCUCAAAAAAAAAAAAAAAAGUAUGCUUGGUUUUAGUGUGUUUUUUCCCAUAACAUUGUGUCAUUGUAAUGGACCACAUCUCCUGUACCAUGAAUUUUUUUUUACUUUUUUCUUUUGCCCCUCAGUACCAGAAAUAUUAACAGGUAACAGGUAAAGUGCACGUCAUGAGGAAUUCAGAAAUUCAGAAAUUACAUGAAGUUUUGCAUCAUGAAUUUAUUUUUGAGGGUGCACGAGGCAGUUACCCAGUCUCUGUUUGCAAGUAGCCUGAGUUCAGAUGAACUCACUGAUGGCCUCCAUCUCUUCUGACUUUGCAAACGUUGAAAAACAAACCCACACAAAAUCUUGAAGUUGAGAGCAACUUAGUUUCCUUAGUGUCAUCCCUCUGCUCCCCUCUCCUCCCCAACAACUAGUAUGGUUUCCAGCUAGUAAUCACAAUGUUUCUAUAGCUCUGAUGUGCCUACAUUGGGAUAGCUACAAUUAGUAUUAUAGUUUUCUGAAGAUGUUUGUUCCAUCAUGCUUUCUAGAAGGUAAAUCUAGCACUAGAUGAGAUCAGUAUUAGGGCCUGUGUUUUUUCUCAGUGUUGACAUCACAGUGCUCUAUACAAAGAAGAUGCUUUGGUGCAAUCAGCUGUCAGUUCAGUUGGUGGGCUAGUGCACCUUUCUGUCUCCCUCCCUCCCUCCCUCCCUCCCUCCCUCUUUCCUCUCUCCUUCUCCCUCUGUCCCUCUCCCUCUCUCUCCUUCCCUCCCUGUUUUCCCCUUUGCACCUCUUCUUUCUUUGACAGGGUCUUGCUUUCUCUGUUACCCAGGCUUAGUGCAGUGGUGCGAUUAUACUUCACUGCAAGCUCCACCUUUCAGGCUCGAGCGAUCCUGCCUCUGCCUCAGCCUCCUGAGUAGUUGGGACUACAGGUACCUGCCAACAUGUCUGGCUAAUUUUUUAAUUUUUUGUAGAGACGAGAUCUCACUGUGUUGCCCAGGCUGGUCUCAAACUUCUGGACUCAAGUGAUCCUCCCACCUUGGCCUCCCAAGUGUUGGGAUUAUAGGCGUCAGCCAACACACCCAUCUGUGAAUAAUUCUGAAGUUGGUAGAACAGCUUAUUGACAGAGCAAGGUGUUAGCCCCACUUUACUGUGUACUAGUUAUAUUAUAUUUGGGGUAUUGUGUUGGCUUUUUGGGUAGCAUACUAUCAUAAGUGAGACCUUGUAUUCAUUCUCAGACUUUAUCAGAAUCAUCUGGAGAGCUAAUAAAAAGCCACACAGAGGCCCAAACUUAAGUAGGGUAGGAACGGACCUUAAUUUUUCUCAUUUCCAAGGUGGUAGACACCUAAGUGUCAAAAUCACUUAUCUGUAGAGCAUAAACGAGGACCUUGAUCAUGAGAGAAAUGGAAAUGAGAAAAAGUUGAAAAAAUGGGAUGUUUGACCUAAAGAAGAGGAGCUUCUUUUAAGAAGUAACAGCCACUUUUAAGGAUUUGGAGUUCUGUCAUGCAGAAGGAUCAGAUUUGACUUGACCAGAAGGAACUAGGGUCAGUGGGUGGAAGUUUAAAAGAAGCAGAUUUCAAUUCUCUUUCAAGAUAAAUUUCCUCAAAAUUGUGAAAAUAGAAUGAGUUGUUUUGGGUGGUAGGCUGUUCCUGUUCACUGACAAAUUGGGGAUUCUAGAGUAGAGGAAUCGUACUGAAGGAGAAUUUGAGCUAGGUGUCUUCAAGUUACCUAUAAACUUUGAGGUUUUAUUAAAUAUGCCGAGGUUUACAGGUGGAAGAACAAAAAGCUAAUUGAGUGAAACAAACUGGUUAACUUGAUAAUAGUUUUUGCCUUCCUGGAUAAAGAGAAAUGAGUAUUAAGUGAGAAGGCUAUUUAAUGAAGGGCUUUAAACCACACUGUAAUUUGGUAGAUUCAGCAGCUUUAAAAAUUGGCAUACCUUCUGACAUGGAAAUUCCCUUUAAAGAAUUUUUUUUUUGAUGUAGUAAAGAUGUGUGUGAAUAUUUAAUUGUGAGCAUACUAGAUGCAGUAUUGUUGAUUAUAAAAGCUGUGUAUUAAUGCCUUUAAGCCCCACGGUAAUCAUAUGAAGUGGGUAGUACUAUUUCUGCUUUUCAGAAGAAAAAACAGGCAUAGAGAAAUGAGGUUGCUUGCUCAAGGUACCUGAGUUAGUUAAGUGUUAGGGCCAGGACUUGAAUCCAACCAGUGUGACUCUAGAGCCAGUACUAUUGAUCAUUAUAUGGUAAAAUUGUAAACAACCUAAAUGUUUCACAGUGAUUGUUAGGGUCCAUCCCUACAGUGGGGUACUGCCUUCUCAGCCAUGAAAAUGAUGAUAGAAUAAUAUAAAGACAUGAAAGGAUGUCUUGGUAUAUGUAAGUGAGAAAAAAUAAAUUUAAAAACAUGAUUCCAUUUUGGUAAAAAAACCCAAAAAUAUAUUAUGUCUGGAAGGAUAUGUGCCAAAUUGUUAAAUGGUUAUUUCUGAGUGUAGUUUUACAGGUGAUUGUUUUCUUUUUGCUUAUCCAAAUUUUCUAACUUCUACAAUGAAUAUAAAUUAUCUAUCAUGUUGUAAUUAAGAUAUUAAGAUGUAACUUUUCAAUAAAAAAUUAAAUGUGUUAGCAUAAGCUGAGAAAUUUGGGUUUUAUACUCUGCAUUUUAAGCAAGUUUGUAGAAAUUGUACAUGAGAAUUUGUAAAUGCAUGUAGUGUUUUGUAAUUUUUUGUUUGAUUCCUUAUUCUAGAAGUAAUAUCAAUUGAGUAGAGAAACAUAUCACUCCUACCACCCUACCAUAAUCAAUUAUUUUGUUGUGUGUUGUUACUCUUAUGUGUAAUAUUUUAAAUAUUCAUCCCAGUGUCAUCCCAGUUAGUCAUACUCUAGCUGUGUGAUUUUAGGCAGUUUACUUAAUCUCUCCGUGGCUCAGUUUCCUUCUUUGUAAAAUGUGGAUUAUUAUAAUACUUAGCUCAUGAUGAUUGGAAAGAUUAAAUGUUAUUUCAUAUAAAGUGAACAGAACAGUACCUGAAACAUAACAGUUAAUAGCUCAAUAAAUGUUAGCAAUUAUAGGAUCACAGUCCACCAUUCAAACUCUUAGGGUCUAAUAGGUUAUGGAAUUAGGAAUUUUUUUUUUAUAUGGGCAAGGUAGUAAUGUGUAGCCUUCCAAUAGAGUCCAGUGCAAUAUCCCCCUUCAAAAGUGUUACUGUUUCUGCAACAAAAUGUAUGAAUGUUCGCACUAAAUAGGAUAAAGACUGUAAAUAGCUUCAUAUCAGUUUGGGUAAGGUUUACCACAAGAUGAGUUAUUUUGGGUUUCAGAAGUUUUUUGGAUUUUUGGAAUUGAAGAUAAGGAACCUAUAAAAUAUUAAUUUUGAGUCCUAUUUUAUAAUAUUAAAACAUCUUUUCAUGGUAUUUUAUAGUUUUAUAGUGCAUGGUAAAUUAAAGUCAAUUAAAAUGAAAUAAUGGAAAAU